rnacentral:rRNA from 1 species
CAGCCAUGCCGCGUGUGCUGAAGAAGGCCUUCGGGUUGUAAAGGAAAAAAACUAGGGAGGAAGGCUUACCGCUAAUAAUGGUGAGUACUUGACGUUACCUACAGAAGAAGCACCGGCUAAUUUCGUGCCAGCAGCCGCGGUAAUACGAAAGGUGCGAGCGUUAAUCGGAAUUACUGGGCGUAAAGCGCGCGUAGGCGGUUUGUUAAGUCAGAUGUGAAAGCCCCGGGCUCAACCUGGGAAUUGCAUUUGAAACUGGCAGGCUAGAAUGCAGUAGAGGGAGGUGGAAUUUCCGGUGUAGCGGUGAAAUGCGUAGAGAUCGGAAGGAACACCAGUGGCGAAGGCGGCCUCCUGGACUGACAUUGACGCUGAGGUGCGAAAGCGUGGGGAGCAAACAGGAUUCGAUACCCUGGUAGUCCACGCCGUAAACGAUGUCUUCUAGGCGUUGGGAAUCUUAGCAUUCUGGGUGACGAAGU